GAUGAAGAACGUAGCGAAAUGCGAUAAGUAGUGUGAAUUGCAGAAUUCAGUGAAUCAUUGAAUCUUUGAACGCACAUUGCGCCCCUUGGUAUUCCAUGGGGCAUGCCUGUUCGAGCGUCAUUUGUACCUUCAAGCCUUGCUUGGUGUUGGGUGUUUGUCUCGCCUCUGCGCGCAGACUCGCCUCAAAACAAUUGGCAGCCGGCGUAUUGAUUUCGGAGCGCAGUACAUCUCGCGCUUUGCACUCAGAACGACGACGUCCAAAAGUACAUUUUUACACUCUUGACCUCGGAUCAGGUAGGGAUACCCGCUGAACUUAAGCAUAUCAAUAAGCGGAGGA
rnacentral:misc_RNA from 1 species